GUCGUUGUAGCGGGCCUCUUCCUCUCAAGCAUCUCACCGCAGGCCACAUCGGGGAUGGCCUCGACCUCCUGCUGCUAGCUACUGGUGCUGGCUGUAGCUUGAACUGGAGGUCUGGAGCAGAAAAAUUGCACCGAGGUAGCAGGUGGAUGAUGGUGUUGGUGCCUUUCUCUUGAAUUGUUGCUGGUGAUGGCUGCAAUUUGAAUGAGCGCCUCAUGUCAACGACAACACAUGCCUCAGAUGAUUUUGUCCAUGAUGAUCUGGUAGGAACUAAUGGAUGAACCAAGCAAAAAGGGCAUUCAAGAAGAUCAUCAUGCAGUUAAUCGUGAUGCUGAUCCCUUGCAUGCGAUUGAAGAUCAUCACGAGGUGUGUCCGAAAAAAGAUUCAAUAAACUUGUUGUGUGUUCUUUUAACUUGUUGCAGGGCCAGAGAAGCACACCCUUUAUUGGGUACCAACAUUGAGGAAGAAAGGAGAUUGCUGCCAGUGGCAAACGUCUGUUGGACAUCAACAGCAAUUCGAGUGUUUCCACAUAUGGUGAUUGAAAUUCUGAGAAAGACACUAUCGUGGAACAACCAUCAAAAGCAAAAUGUCAAAAGACCGGAUCUACCGAGGAUAAGAGAACAGGGCAUCGCCUGCAAGGCUUUUCAAGCUAGAUAAACUUCUUAUACCUGUUCAACAAGGCCAAGCUCAAGUCACUUUCAGUCAAUUUCUGACACCAGG